rnacentral:rRNA from 1 species
GAUGAACGCUGGCGGCGUGCCUAAUACAUGCAAGUCGAGCGAACAGACGAGGAGCUUGCUCCUCUGACGUUAGCGGCGGACGGGUGAGUAACACGUGGAUAACCUACCUAUAAGACUGGGAUAACUUCGGGAAACCGGAGCUAAUACCGGAUAAUAUAUUGAACCGCAUGGUUCAAUAGUGAAAGACGGUUUUGCUGUCACUUAUAGAUGGAUCCGCGCCGCAUUAGCUAGUUGGUAAGGUAACGGCUUACCAAGGCAACGAUGCGUAGCCGACCUGAGAGGGUGAUCGGCCACACUGGAGCUGAGACACGGUCCAGACUCCUACGGGAGGCAGCAGUAGGGAAUCUUCCGCAAUGGGCGAAAGCCUGACAGAGCAACGCCGCGUGAGUGAUGAAGGUCUUCGGAUCGUAAAACUCUGUUAUUAGGGAAGAACAAAUGUGUAAGUAACUAUGCACGUCUUGACGGUACCUAAUCAGAAAGCCACGGCUAACUACGUG